AUUGAACGCUGGCGGCAGGCUUAACACAUGCAAGUCGAGCGAGCGGCGGACGGGUGAGUAAUGUCUGGGAAACUGCCUGAUGGAGGGGUAUAACUACUGUAAACGGUAGCUAAUACCGCAUACCAUCAGAUGUGCCCAGAUGGGAUUAGCUAGUAGGUGGGGAAAGGGCUCACAUAGGAGACGAUCCCUAGCUGGUCUGCGAGGAUGACCAGCCACACUGGAACUGAGACACGGUCCAGACUCCUACGGGAGGCAGCAGUAGGGAAUAUUGCACAAUGGGCGCAAGCCUGAUGCAGCCAGGCCGCGUGUGUGAAGAAGGCCUUCGGGUUGUAAAGCACUGUCAUCGAGGAGGCGUUACUCGCAGAAGAAGCACCGGCUAACUCCGUGCCAGCAGCCGCGGUAAUAC
rnacentral:rRNA from 1 species